CUGGUGUAAAGAGUUUGAUCAUGUGCCUCANCAUUGAACGUUUUGGCGGCAGGCCUAACACAUGCAAGUCGAACGGUAACAGGAAGCAGCUUGCUUGCUUCGCUGACGAGUGGCGGACGNGGUGAGUAAAUGUUCUUGGGGAAACUUGCCUUGGAUUGGAGUGGGGAUUAACUACUUGGAAACGGUAAGCUUAAUACCCGCAUAAACGUUCCGCAAGGAACCAAAGAAAGGGGUGGAACCCUUUCCGGGGGCCCCUUCCUUUUGGCCCAUCCGGGGAAUUAGGUUGCCCCAGGAAUUGGGGGAAUUUAGGCCUUAAGUUAAGAGG
rnacentral:rRNA from 1 species